GUGCUCCCUUUGGCACAACAUAUACUAAAAUUGGAACUAUGCAGAGAAAGAUUAGCAUGGCCCUUAAAUAAGAAUGGCAUGCAAAUUUGUGAAGCAUUCCAUAUUUUU
rnacentral:snRNA from 2 species